GCCCAGAACGGGAACUAAAUAAGCACUCGUAGCUUGAAUGAAUAAACAAGCAGCUCCCACUUGGAUAGUAUUUCCACACAUCAGGACUUGAGAGGUCACACUACGCCAGUCCUGAUUCAGUGUAAGGGAUGACAGACCUACAAGAAUUACAGAAGGCUAAGAUUAUUAGAGCUCAUCUCAGUAGCUGGCUACCACAAUCAAGUAGAAGCAAUAUGCUGAUAAGACACUUGUGAAUAUGGGCACCAUGUCUUCUCUUUCUUGGUUUCAGACACACAGAAGAAUUACAUUUCUCUACUCCCAUGCAGGCAGAUGGGGACAUCUGAGUACUAAUGGCCAACUGAUUAUGAGUAGAAGUAACACCAAAGCCUUUGUCUGUGAAAGAUCUGCAAUUCUCUCUUCUAUUGCAGCAAUGGAGGUCACAUACUUCAAAUGGUACACAGCUAGUAAGGUGGUAAAGCCUUCAUCAGACUGGGUCCUUGAGUGACUAUGUAACGGAUGCAAGAAACAAAACUUUUAUGUGUGUCUUAAACUGCUGAGAUUUUGGAGUUGUUAGUUAACAGAAUGUAGCCUAGACUAUUCUGAUUUUCAAAGUGUUCUUCCAUGAAAAAUAAGUUCUAAACUGAAUUGUUGGCAGUCAACCCAAAUCUUUCUUUUAUAGCCACUGCUGGUUGAUCCCAUAAUAUAAAUUAAUUCAUAAUUGUUUCUGACCUUCAGUUUCUUGGACAAUUCAAUUUAUUCUCCAGUUCUGUUCCCACCUUUAGUCACUAGAAGAUGCAGUGUUGUCACCACUUAUUAGUAAAUCACAAAACGAACAUUUAUAAAGUCCAUGUUUUCUUAUUCAGAGGAGGGAAUGGGGUUCAUUACUUAAGUCUGGGGAAAAGAAGAGAUAUCUUGUAUGGGUUAAUCCGACCAUGAGCUCCGAUUAACCCAUACAUGAGCCUUCCCUGCCACAUUGAGAUGAUCCUUACUGAAAAGGAACAGAUUGUUCCUAAACCAGAAGAGGAGGUUGCCCAGAAGAAAAAGAUAUCCCAGAAGAAACCGAAGAAACAAAAACUUAUGGCACGGGAGUAAAUUCAGCAUUAAAAUAAAUGUAAUUAAAAGGAAAAAAAAA